rnacentral:rRNA from 1 species
UAGGGAAUCUUCCACAAUGGGCGCAAGCCUGAUGGAGCAACACCGCGUGAGUGAAGAAGGGUUUCGCUCGUAAAGCUCUGUUGUUGGAGAAGAACGUGCGUGAGAGUAACUGUUCACGCAGUGACGGUAUCCAACCAGAAAGUCACGGCUAACUACGUGCC